GACGAACGCUGGCGGCGCGCUUAAAACAUGCAAGUCGAACGAGAAGCCCGGGCUUGCCCGGGUGGACAGUGGCGAACGGGUGAGUAACACGUGAGGAACCUGCCCCGAAGACCGGGACAACACCGGGAAACCGGUGCUAAUACCGGAUGCCUUCACCGGACCGCAUGGUCUGGUGUAGAAAUGGAUUCCGCUUCGGGAUGGCCUCGCGGCCUAUCAGCUUGUUGGUGAGGUAACGGCUUACCAAGGCAACGACGGGUAGCUGGUCUGAAGAGGAUGUCCAGCCACACUGGGACUGAGACACGGCCCAGACUCCUACGGGAGGCAGCAGUUAGGAAUCUUGCGCAAUGGACGAAAGUCUGACGCAGCGACGCCGCGUGCGGGAUGAAGGCCCUCGGGUUGUAAACCGCUUUCAGCAGGGACGAAAUUGACGGUACCUGCAGAAGAAGCCCCGGCCAACUACGUGCCAGCCGCCGCCGUAAAAC
rnacentral:rRNA from 1 species